rnacentral:rRNA from 1 species
ACAGCAGUAGCCGCGGUAAUACGUAGGUCCCGAGCGUUGUCCGGAUUUAUUGGGCGUAAAGCGAGCGCAGGCGGUUUGAUAAGUCUGAAGUUAAAGGCUGUGGCUCAACCAUAGUUCGCUUUGGAAACUGUCAAACUUGAGUGCAGAAGGGGAGAGUGGAAUUCCAUGUGUAGCGGUGAAAUGCGUAGAUAUAUGGAGGAACACCGGUGGCGAAAGCGGCUCUCUGGUCUGUAACUGACGCUGAGGCUCGAAAGCGUGGGGAGCGAACAGGAUUAGAUACCCGGGUAGUCCCUGUCUCUUAUACA